AAGCAAGCAAGCAGGCAGGUGGUUUGGUGUUGAUCUGGAGGAGCCCCUACCUCGGGUGUCCCUGGAGGAGACACUGGAGUGGCCAGGUUUCUCCCGAGAGACGUCCCUCAAUGAAUCACAAGAAUCUGAAAGCCUGUCUCGGGCUCUGCUCCUAGGCAACCAGACCUAAGGCAGCGGGUGCUGGGAGCGGGCCUGGGAGCCAGCCUCUGAGGACAGGAUGCUAGGGAUAGUCACUGACCGGACGGCAACGGUGCCCCAUCCCUGGGGAUAGCACGGGCAUGGGACAGCCAUGAUUCGCUAUGACUUCCACCUGCAGAAAACUGGUAAGGGGGCUGCACCAUCUGGGGCAAUCUGGCAUUUGGGAGUUAAGAGGAAACAGUAAGCAUUAAGCCUAUGGAAUGGAGCGGCCAUUGCUAAGUGCCAUCGACUCACUCAAGAAAGGAAAUUGCAUUCUCAAAUGUCUUACUCGGCCAUUUAAAACAAAGUGUGAGAGUCCGAGGAAAGCACUGAAGGAAGGAAGCAUCGAAGCACGUAUCUCCUGCAGCUGGAGUGCAAAUCAGGCUUGCACAAUCUGGGCUCAGGACCAGAGUGUCGUGGAGACAGAGAUCAAGUUACACGUGAGCCCACCAGCUUGGGUUUCCUCUCUCGAAGGCUGAUCCAGCUGCUGCCCUGGCUGAAUUCUGACCUGUCAUCAACAGAGACCGGGCCGACCCUCUGAGACGUGAACACCCCGUGAGGAGACCAGCUAGCCCUUCGGUGGCAAGUUUAUCACCUAGGACCUCUUCCACCCUAGAAAGGGCAGUGGUCCACUCUGUCCAGGAUCGAUGGCUAGUCUGAGAAUGGGUCUGCCUCUCCUUCUUAUGGAGCCUUAGGUCGCCACCACUGUCUGAAAGCUCACGGACACAGGCUCUCAUACAACAUCACUACAGACAGAGAGAGCCUACUUACAGAAAGGCGGUGUGCCCGUGGAUACAUUCUGAUAGGUUCCACUGGCCCUACCACAGGGUGCACCAUGCCGAUCUCAUGGAUGGUAGAAUGGCCUCUUCGAGAUGCAGCUGAGGUACCAAAGGGGUGGCAUCCUGGGAGAAUGGGCUGCCACUCUCCAGGUCACACUGCACAUGGCAAAGCAAUGACCACCCCGUGUCUGCCAACAGGCAGACACAUUAAACUCAAUGUGAGAAGCAAGUGGAUCUGAGCGGGGCAAGGGGAGGACUGUACGAACACCAAUGCUCCACCAGAUCCCCUCUGCUGGGCCCAGGCACCCCUCCCCCAGCUGCGGGAGUAUUGACCCUUUCUCUAGAGAAUGGCCCUGAGAAGACAGGAGCUGCGUCAUCUGGGAAGUUGCACCCUCUUGGGGGCAGCCGGCAGCCCACAAUGACCAACGCAGAGUAUGAAAUGAAUGCCAGCUCCCUUCCUUCAGGAGAGACUACUCUGUGAUGUGCUCAUGUUCUGAAGCCCUCGCUCUGGGAUCAAGCCAAGAGGGUCCUCUCCCUGCCCCACCCGCCUCUUACAGGUGGUUUCAGAAGAGCCAGCCCACAAUCCAUCAACUUCACAAGAAUCCGGGUCUCAGGCUCUGCUUCCGGAGAGCCCCAUUCAAGGCAACAGCUCUUUGUUCUCGCAUUCUCUAAAUAUUGGUCUUGCCCCCUUGUCUUAGUUGUCUUAGUCUGCAAUUUCUCUGUGUGCGUCUCAACCUCUCCUAUGACCUUAAUAACCAAGCUUUUUUGCAGUUCGUGCAUGCUUUUAUUAAUUUUUAAUAGUUCAUUUUUCCAACAACGUUGAAGUAGUCGAAAAAUAUUGAAAACCUGACAAAUAGGUAUCAUAAAACUUACAUUAUUUUAAACUUAAAUAUUUCAUUUAUACCCCAAGCAGAAUCUAUUAUCAUUUUACUUUCCUGUCUUCAAUGGGAGCAAACGCAUCAAUAAUAUCUUAAAAAUAUACAUGUUACCUAUCUGCUUUUCAACUGAGAUUUGCCAUAUUUUAUCAUUUCUCAUAAUCUAGUGACAAGUUUAAAUAAUUUCAAAGUGAUAGCAGGUUACUAAAACCUCAUUCGCAGGACCCCACUGUGUCUAUUAUUAUUAAAGAGACUAUCAAGACCACUUCUAAAUUUGGGUAAGAUUACACUAGGCAAAAUUUGUGACUCAGGUUUAGAAGAAAAAACAUGAUGGUGGUUUUUUUUUUUAAUGUAUGAAAACUGACACCUGCAUCCACUGAUUUAUACAUUUCCAAGUUCUUUCUUUUUUAUUUUCUCAUUCAGAUAUUAUAUUCAUGUAUCUUCCUAAGUUUUAAAGCACUAAUGACUUGCCUCCUUUAAUAUCUAUCCAGUCCAACGUCUUCUUUCCAUCCCUAAUGCUGUUACUGUCAUUCAAGACCACUGUCAGUUCCCAUCUGGACAAUACGCCACUGUCUCCCCUGUCUCUUUGCCCCCAGUGUUGUUCUCUUCAGAUCCAUUGUGACACAGACUUCUGUCACUCACUCAAAUUUGGUUCCCCUAAGCUUCUGGGCACCUGGAAUGAUUACACAUCCCCAUUCCUUAUAGGCGGGGCCCACGUGAACAAUUCUGGGAGAUGGGUUAUGAACCUACAUAGUGUGGGUCACCUCUAGGCCACAGCAUUUAGUUACCAUUGCGAGGAUCCCCAAUACGCCUGUCCCUGCCAUGUGACAAGGAGGCUACGUGUUUUAAAGAGUACGGUUGCAGGAUGGCAGAGCCUCUAUGAGCCUGAGUCCCUGAAUGGUU